GGGAAUGCCACUUUAAAACGAUCGGGCCGAGGUCAACAUCCGAAAGAUUCCAUCGAAGUUGACAUACAUGAUUCAAUGAGGAAAUAUGAAUCAGACGUAAAAAUAUACUACAGUCCACUGGGCAACCGGCGCUAUAUAUUACUGCCGUUUAAGGUUAUUCGUCAUCCAAUUUGUGACGGAUUUAAAUACAAACUUGUUCAACAAGAAAUUCUGAACGUGCAAAACUGUUCGAAUCUACCUCUACCAAGCAAUCAAAUUCCGUAUUGUGACCUACUUGGAGUGGGCCACUAUUAUGUGAAGGAUUAUAUGAUUGAUAAAUCGGUGUUUCCAGCCAUCAUACGACCGGGAAGAUAUCGAUUAGUUGCAUCCUCAUAUCGAAAAAAAGCGGUGAGCUAGUGCAGGCUAUCGAGUUCAUAGCAACCUU